rnacentral:snRNA from 1 species
GUGCUCACUUUGGCAGCACAUAUACUAAAAUUGAAAUGAUACAGAGAGUAGCAUGGCCCCUGCACAGGGAUGACCUGCAAAUUUGUGAAGUGUUCCAUGAAAAA